rnacentral:rRNA from 1 species
ACGAACGAAGAGCCCAUGAGAACUGAAUGAAGUGGAGAGCUGCUCAAGAUGGAAUGACGUAGGAUUGGAUUCUGCUCUUAGUGGCGAACGGGUGAGUAACACAUGGGUUACCUGCCUUCAAGUUGGGGAUAACAGUUAGAAAUGAUUGCUAAUACCGAAUGUGCUAGUAAUAGUAAAGUUGCUCUCAAGCAACGCUUGAAGAUGGGCCUGUGGCGUAUUAGCUAGUUGGCAGUAUAAUGGACUACCAAGGCGACGAUGCGUAGCCGGACCGAGAGGUUGAACGGCCACACUGGGACUGAGACACGGCCCAGACUCCUACGGGAGACAGCAGUUAGGAAUAUUCGGCAAUGGGCGAAAGCCUGACCGAGCAAUGCCGCGUGUGAGAUGAAAAGAUCCUCUGGAUUGUAAAUCACUUUUAUUUGGGAAGAACGAUAAGUAUAGGAAAUGAUACUUGUGUGACGGUACCAUUUGAAUAAGCCCCGGCUAACUACGUGCCAGCCGCAGC